GGGAGAUUGAGGAGCUAAGGGGAAAGCUUGCAAAUGUUUCGUCUGCCUCUAAUGACGGUGUAGAAAAGUUCAGAGAAGACUAUCUGCUAAAGCUGAAUGUCCUUGAAGAACAGGUUAAAGAGAUGACAAAGAAACAGCAUGUUGAAUCUCAUCGAUCAACUCAAAGACCCAAAGGUGACGAAGCAACAAACGGGUUGCAGUUUGAGAAUCAAUGUUUGAAAGCUCAGAAGGUUCAAUUGCAAUGUAAGAUCAAGCUAGAGUCCGUGCAAUUUAGAGAAUGCAAGGCUUCAUUGGAAAAAGAAUCUCUUCAG